UAAAAAGCAGCAGUUGUUUUUUUCUUCAUAGGGCAGUUUCAAUCAACGUCAAUUUAAUGUAUGACUUCUUUUGUAAAGCAACGAAGGUGAAGUUUUCUACAUGUCACCCCCUAGUGUUUGGCAUAUUUUUUCCACAAGUUGUUGAAGUUCUGAAAUGUCUAAAUGUUUGCAUGUCCCGUUUCCACAGUUAACUUAUUCAAUAUUCUGUUUUAAAUUAAUGUUUGUAUUUGCACCUUCAAUGAGAACAAAAUGAGGAGUUAUUUAACAUUUUACCAUGUUUUUCCUGUCAGAGUCAUUUUAAUUUAGCAUCUGUAUGUAAAUUGCACCGUCGCUCAUGGGAACGAUUCAAACACUUUGAUUCAGACUUUAGAUGGUCAACAAACAAACACAUACAAACAAAGUGUUGGACAAACACUCCAAAAAAAGUUCACU